AAAAUUCCCACGAAAUUUGAUUGGAAGAGUGAGAAUUUUCACACGGAUUGGAGAAAAAGUACAUAUAAAGAAAAGGAAAAAAAAUUGAUCAGAUAUAUAAUUGUCGUCAAGGAAGAAAUAUUGAUAUGUCAAUGACACACUACUUGGGAGAAGAAAUUACAGAAAAUGAGAAAAUUAUGAUGAAAGGACGUUUUUUGAAAAAAGGUGGCGUUAAAUUAUCAAAAAAAAAAAAAAAAAAUGAUCGCCUAGUUAGAAGGCGUGAAAACAUCGGUGUAAUCAGCUCUGAAAACAAGAGGAUUUCCAAUAGUGUCUUCUUACUUCUCGCGCUUAUAUCUUCAGAUCAUGAUAGGAGCUAAAGGAGACGCGAGCGUAUAUCCCUUCCCUUACUGCCACACAAAAAAGGAUGAAAAACUGAAGAAAUCAUGGAUUUUCUUAGAAGCUUAGGAAAUAAGAAGCUUUCUUCUUUUAUCUUCAUGGAAACUUUAAGAUGUUCACGAAAGAGGAAAAGAGGACGAAAUCUAUUUUGCGUGUGGUCCCUUUAUUAUUGGUUACUGAUGCUGAUUGUAAGCCCACAAUUUCCAAUAGCUUAUUGUUCACGAAGGGAUGAUGUUUAUCUAAAUAGCAAUGAUGUGUCUCAAAAUUCUGGAUUCAUUCGAAAUAAUAGAAUGAAAGGUAAUUGGGGCUCUUGGGGUCCUUGGAGUAAAUGUUCUAGACCUUGUGGAACAGGAGUUGAGUCGCAAAUUCGUGAAUGUGUACCAAUUGGAAAGCAAUUACGGAAGAGGAACAUUAUGGGCCAUAACGAUACAAUCAGCGCCCGUCCCAGUUGUGUCGGGAUAUACAAGCGAUACCACAUCUGCAAUACCCAGGAUUGUCCUAAUUUUUAUCCAGACGUGAGGACACAUCAUUGCUCGAAAUACAAUGGAAAAUUAUAUAAAGGACGAAUUUUCGCUUGGGAACCAUUUCUAGAUGCGCCUAAUUCUUGUGCUCUAAAUUGUCGGGCAAUUGGAGAACGAUUUUAUGCAACUCUCGAGCCCUUGGUUCCUGAUGGAACUUAUUGUCGUCCGAAUUUUCUUUUACCAACUGUUCCCAUUUUUAAGAGAAACACUGAUCAAUGGUUGUGCGUCGCUGGACAUUGUAAGUCGGUAGGUUGCGAUGGAAUAAUAGAUUCUGGAUUAGUCGUUAAUUCUUGUGGUAUUUGCGGUGUCGAUGAUAAAGAUUGUGAAUGGUUCGAAGGUUCUUUUGUUGAGCCAAUUUUACCAAAAGGAUACCAUUUUGUUGUUACAAUUCCAAAAGGUGCAAUGUCUAUAAAUAUUUCUGAAUUUCGUGCCAGUGAAAAUUUAAUAGCUUUAAAAGAUGAAAAUGGCGAAUACAUCACAAAUGGUCCUUGGUCUUUGAGUCCCAGUGGAAUUUACAAUGUGGCUGGUACUUCUUUGUUAUAUGAAAGAGGAAGCGAAAAUAAAGUUGAAUAUAUUCAAGCUGCUGGUCCUUUAAAUGAAUCCUUACGUGUAGAGAUUUGGACCCAUCAUCCUAAUCCUGGAAUUAUGUAUAAAUACACUUUAUCAAAAACAGUUCCUGAAAAUAUUUUUAUCACUUCACCGCCACCUAUUGAUCUUCCAGGUUCACUGAGUCUCAACGAAAUUCCCAAUCCUACGGUCGAGGGGAUUUUCAAAACUACAACUGAAAGAAUACGCAGCUCACCAUUAAUAAUUCCAACUCAACGAGUAAAUGAAAUUGAAAAAAGAACAAGAGAAUUAAAUGUCGAAAGAACAAGUAUUCCGCCAACAACUUCCAUGGCUGGUGAUCAACCAAAUUCAAAAGUAAAAAGACGAAGAAGAAAAUUUAUUUGGAAACUUUCAACAUUUUCCUCGUGUUCGAAACCUUGCGGAGGAGGAUUUCAAAGAGCAAUUUUUCGAUGUUUUCGAAGAAGCACCGAUGAAAUUGUUGACGAACGUAAAUGUCGAAAUAUCACAAAACCUGUGGGACCAUCUGCAAGAUGUAAUGAUCGUCCCUGUGCUGCUAGAUGGAGAGCCGAAUCAUGGAGUGAAUGUUCAGUAACAUGUGGUUCUGGAGUUCGAACACGAAAAGUGGAAUGUGUUCAAAAAUUAAAUUCCCAAUUGACAGUUCGUGUCGCUGCUGGAACUUGUAUUCAACCACCAGAUUUAGGUACUUGGGAAGUUUGUCAAUUGCCACCUUGUCAAACUUUUGUGCCAGAGAUAAGACACAUGAAUCCAUCUCCAGUACCACCAAAAUGGGAAGUCGGUUUAUGGAGUCCGUGUUCAGUGACUUGUGGUCAGGGGACAAGAAUUCGAAAUGUAACUUGUGUAUCAACCAACGAAUUAUGUUUAUCAAAAAAUAAACCAAAAGCUGAAGAAUUUUGCGAAGCUGACUCUUGUCCUCUUGUUGCGCCAUCGAAAGGAAUUUGGCUUUUUUCUGAAUGGUCGUCUAAGUGUUCAACAGAGUGUGGUUCGGGAAUUGAGACAAGACGAAUUAUUUGCAGUCAUGAAAAUAAAACACAUUGCAAUUCUGAAUUGAAACCUUUAGAAGAACGACAGUGUUUAGGAACUGCAUGCAAUAAAACAUUUUGGUUCACAAGCCCUUGGACAGAGUGCUCAGCAACAUGUGGCGUUGGAAUUCGAAAACGAGAAGUCGUAUGUGCUUUCAAAAUUAGAGAUGAAUUAACAAUAUCAUCUGACAGUGCAUGUAAUUUUGAGAAACCACUUCAAGAGGAAUUAUGUACAAUGAAUCCUUGUUCUGCAGAAUGGUUCACUUCGGAUUGGACUGAGUGUUCCGUAACUUGUGGAAAUGGUAUUCGAACACGUGUAGUUCGUUGUAUUUCUAACGGAAGUGAGAUAAAUGAUUGUAUUGAAUCAUCAAAACCUCGAGAUAAACGUCUUUGCAUUGGCGAAUUUUGUAGGAAAUCGGAAUUUUCUACUGAGAGCCCUACAAAAAAUGGAAAAGACGCUGAAAAUUGCACAGAUGAAUAUCCUUAUUGUGAGUUAGUUUUAAAGGCCGAUUUGUGUCGCAUUAAAUACUAUAAUCACUCAUGUUGUGGCUGCCAUUCAUAAUUAUUGAAAUAAACAUAUUCAAUUAUUUAUUUAAGAAUCGACGACUCAAGAAUCGAUUAAUUUUUUUUUAAUAGUAUUUACUAUUAUUUAAAAAAAAAUAAAUAUUUUUCUAUGAUACACAUUACCAGUUGAAGAUUGAAGAUGGCGAUUUAUUCAUCGUAGAAUACACAAAAUAUUGAAAAAAGAAAAUUACAUUUAAAUAAUGUUUUUGAACGAAUGGAAUGAAGGUGGCUGCAAGUCGCGAACAAGUAGUUAGUUCUCCAUUUCGCCGCCAGAUGGUUAAUGUCG